rnacentral:rRNA from 1 species
UACGUAGGGGGCAAGCGUUGUCCGGAGUUACUGGGCGUAAAGCGCACGUAGGCGGCUUUGUAAGUUAGAGGUGAAAGCCCGGGGCUCAACUCCGGAAUUGCCUUUAAGACUGCAUCGCUUGAAUCAUGGAGAGGUGAGUGGAAUUCCGAGUGUAGAGGUGAAAUUCGUAGAUAUUCGGAAGAACACCAGUGGCGAAGGCGACUCACUGGACAUGUAUUGACGCUGAGGUACGAAAGCGUGGGGAGCAAACAGG